rnacentral:rRNA from 1 species
UACAGGGGGUGCAAACGUUGCUCGGAAUCAUUGGGCGUAAAGCGCACGUAGGCGGUUCGUUAUGUCGGAUGUGAAAGCCCUUGGCUUAACCGAGGAAGUGCAUCCGAAACUGGCGAGCUAGAGUACUAAAGAGGAUCGCGGAAUUUCCGGUGUAGAGGUGAAAUUCGUAGAUAUCGGGAGGAACACCGGUGGCGAAGGCGGCGAUCUGGGUAGAUACUGACGCUGAGGUGCGAAAGCGUGGGGAGCAAACAGG